rnacentral:rRNA from 1 species
UACGUAGGGGGCAAGCGUUGUCCGGAAUCAUUGGGCGUAAAGAGCGUGUAGGCGGCUCGGUAAGUCCGCUGUGAAAGUCCAGGGCUCAACCCUGGAAUGCCGGUGGAAACUGUCGAGCUAGAGUCCGGAAGAGGCGAGUGGAAUUCCUGGUGUAGCGGUGAAAUGCGCAGAUAUCAGGAGGAACACCAAUGGCGAAGGCAGCUCGCUGGGACGGUACUGACGCUGAGGCGCGAAAGCUAGGGUAGCAAACGGG